CACGUAGGGCGCGAGCGUUUGUCCGGAAUUAUUGGGCGUAAAGAGCUCGUAGGCGGCCUGUUGCGUCCGCUGUGAAAGCCCGGGGGCUUAACCCCGGGUCUGCAGUGGAUACGGGCAGGCUAGAGGUAGGUAGGGGAGAAUGGAAUUCCCGGUGUAGCGGUGAAAUGCGCAGAUAUCGGGAGGAACACCGGUGGCGAAGGCGGUUCUCUGGGCCUUACCUGACGCUGAGGAGCGAAAGCGUGGGGAGCGAACAGG
rnacentral:rRNA from 1 species